rnacentral:rRNA from 1 species
AUGGCACAACGUGCAGACAAGUGUAUCAGGCACAUCCUGGUGAUCAGUGGCACCGAGAUGAUGGGGAUGGUCUCCAUCAGCGAUGUCGUGCGCGCGGUGGUCAGCGAGCACAAGGAGGAGCUGAACCGGCUCAACGCCUACAUCCACAGCGGGUACUAA